AACGAACGCUGGCGGCAGGCUUAACACAUGCAAGUCGAGCGCCCCGCAAGGGGAGCGGCAGACGGGUGAGUAACGCGUGGGAAUCUACCCUUUUCUACGGAAUAACGCAUGGAAACGUGUGCUAAUACCGUAUAAGCCCUUCGGGGAAAGGAUUUAUCGGGAAAGGAUGAGCCCGCGUUGGAUUAGCUAGUUGGUGGGGUAAAGGCCUACCAAGGCGACGAUCCAUAGCUGGUCUGAGAGGAUGAUCAGCCACAUUGGGACUGAGACACGGCCCAAACUCCUACGGGAGGCAGCAGUGGGGAAUAUUGGACAAUGGGCGGCAAGCCUGAUCCAGCCAUGCCGCGUGAGUGAUGAAGG
rnacentral:rRNA from 1 species